CCUACGGGUGGCAGCAGUGAGGAAUAUUGGUCAAUGGGCGCGAGCCUGAACCAGCCAAGUAGCGUGAAGGAUGACUGCCCUACGGGUUGUAAACUUCUUUUAUAAAGGAAUAAAGUGAGGCACGUGUGCCUUUUUGUAUGUACUUUAUGACUAAGGAUCGGCUAACUCCGUGCCAGCAGCCGCGGUAAUCCGGAGGAUCCGAGCGUUAUCCGGAUUUAUUGGGUUUAAAGGGAGCGUAGAUGGGUUGUUAAGUCAGUUGUGAAAGUUUGCGGCUCAACCGUAAAAUUGCAAUUGAUACUGGCAGUCUUGAGUAUAGUAGAGGGAGGCAGAAUUCGUGGUGUAGCGGUGAAAUGCGUAGAGAUCACGAAGAACUCCGAUUGCGAAGGCAGCUCACUAAACUGACACUGACAUUGAGGUGCGAAAGUGUGGGUAUCAAACAGGAUUAGAUACCCCGGUAGUC
rnacentral:rRNA from 1 species